AUGCUCGUCGCGCUGCUGCUCGGCCUCAACAUGUCCUGGAGUGCCAUUAGCGCUGCCCUCACACUCAUCUUCCUCGACUUUAAGGACGCUUGCCCCUGCCUCGAGAAGAAUAUGAUAUGUGCCUUAAUUCUAAGUUCUGGUCUCUCUUAA
rnacentral:rRNA from 1 species